rnacentral:rRNA from 1 species
AAAGGGCGCACGGUGGAUGCCUUGGCACUAGGAGCCGAUGAAGGACGGGACAAACACCGAUAUGCUUCGGGGAGCUGUAAGUAAGCGUUGAUCCGGAGAUUUCCGAAUGGGGAAACCCACUGUCCGUAAUGGGGCAGUAUCCAUACGUGAAUCCAUAGCGUAUGGAGGGCAUACCCGGGGAACUGAA